UAAGGAAUAUUGGUCAAUGGGCGGAAGCCUGAACCAGCCAUGCCGCGUGCAGGAUGACUGCCCUAUGGGUUGUAAACUGCUUUUGUCCAGGAAUAAACCUAAAUACGAGUAUUUAGCUGAAUGUACUGGAAGAAUAAGGAUCGGCUAACUCCGUGCCAGCAGCCGCGGUAAUACGGAGGAUCCGAGCGUUAUCCGGAUUUAUUGGGUUUAAAGGGUGCGUAGGCGGCCUAUUAAGUCAGGGGUGAAAUACGGUGGCUCAACCAUCGCAGUGCCUUUGAUACUGAUGGGCUUGAAUCCAUUUGAAGUGGGCGGAAUAAGACAAGUAGCGGUGAAAUGCAUAGAUAUGUCUUAGAACUCCGAUUGCGAAGGCAGCUCACUAAGCUGGUAUUGACGCUGAUGCACGAAAGCGUGGGGAUCGAACA
rnacentral:rRNA from 1 species